AGUGAAGCGGCACAGCUCAAAUUUGAAAUCUGGGCUUCGUGGCCGAGUUGUAAUUUGUAGAGGAUGCUUUUGGUGAGGUGCCUGUCUGAGUUCCCUGGAACGGGACGCCAGAGAGGGUGAGAGCCCCGUAUAGUCUGGCCACCGAUCCUUUGUAAAGCUCCUUCGACGAGUCGAGUAGUUUGGGAAUGCUGCUCUAAAUGGGAGGUAUAUCUCUUCUAAAGCUAAAUAUUGGCCAGAGACCGAUAGCGCACAAGUAGAGUGAUCGAAAGAUGAAAAGCACUUUGAAAAGAGGGUUAAAUAGCACGUGAAAUUGUUGAAAGGGAAGCGCUUGUGACCAGACUUGUGCCGGGCUGAUCAUCCAGUGUUCUCACUGGUGCACUCGACCCGGCUCAGGCCAGCGUCGGUUCUCGUAGGGGGAUAAAAGACUUCGGGAACGUGGCACCUUCGGGAUGUGUUAUAGCCCGUUGCUUAAUACCCUUGUGGGGACCGAGGUUCGCGCUCUGCAAGGACGCUGGCAUAAUGGUCAUCAGCGACCCGUCUUGAA
rnacentral:rRNA from 1 species